rnacentral:rRNA from 1 species
UUAGGAAACUAAGGGGGUGGCUUCCAUCUGGAAGGAAAUCUGGAGACAGGUGCUGCAUGGCUGUCGUCAGCUCGUGUCGUGAGAUGUUGGGUUAAGUCCCGCAACGAGCGCAACCCUUGCCUUUAGUUGCCAGCAGUUCGGCUGGGCACUCUAAAGGGACUGCCGGUGUUAAACCGGAGGAAGGUGGGGAUGACGUCAAGUCCUCAUGGCCUUUAUGACCAGGGCUACACACGUACUACAAUGGCCGAUACAAAGGGCAGCGACACUGCGAGGUGAAGCCAAUCCCGUAAAAUCGGUCUCAGUCCGGAUUGGAGUCUGCAACUCGACUCCAUGAAGUUGGAAUCGCUAGUAAUCGUGGAUCAGCAUGCCACGGUGAAUACGUUCCCGGGCCUU